rnacentral:rRNA from 1 species
UACGUAGGGGGCGAGCGUUGUCCGGAGUUACUGGGCGUAAAGCGCACGCAGGCGGUCUGCUAAGUUUGGAGUGACAGUUGGUGGCUUAACUGCCAAAGUGCUUCGAAAACUGACAGACUUGAGGGCUUCAGAGGGACACGGAAUUCCGGGUGGAGUGGUGAAAUGCGUAGAGAUCCGGAAGAACACCGGUGGCGAAGGCGGUCUGCUGGGCCAAGACUGACGCUGAGGCGCGACAGCGUGGGGAGCGAACAGG